CGACCCCAGGUCAGGCGGGGUUACCCGCUGAGUUU
rnacentral:rRNA from 10 species